UACAGAGGUCUCAAGCGUUGUUCGGAUUCAUUGGGCGUAAAGGGUGUGUAGGUGGCGCCGUAAGUCGGGUGUGAAAUCUCGGAGCUUAACUCCGAAACUGCAUUCGAUACUGCCGUGCUUGGGGACUGGAGAGGAGACUGGAAUUUACGGUGUAGCGGUGAAAUGCGUAGAUAUCGUAAGGAAGACCAGUGGCGAAGGCGGGUCUCUGGACAGUUCCUGACGCUGAGGCACGAAGGUCAGGGGAGCAAACGGG
rnacentral:rRNA from 1 species